rnacentral:rRNA from 1 species
UAGGGAAUAUUGCACCAUGGGCGAAAGCCUGAUGCAGCAACGCCGCGUGAGUGAUGAAGGCCCUCGGGUCGUAAAACUCUUUUCAAGAGGAAGAGGAAGGACGGUACUCUUGGAAUAAGCCUCGGCUAACUACGUGCCAGCAGCCGCGGUAACACGUAGGAGGCGAGCGUUAUUCGGAUUUACUGGGCGUAAAGCGCGUGUAGGCGGCUUAUUAAGUUGGAUGUGAAAGCUCCUGGCUUAACUGGGAGAGGACGUUCAAAACUAGUAAGCUUGAGUACGAGAGAGGAAAAUGGAAUUCCGGGUGUAGUGGUGAAAUGCGUAGAUAUCCGGAGGAACACCAGUGGCGAAGGCGAUUUUCUGGCUCGAGACUGACGCUCAGACGCGAAAGCUAGGGUAGCAAACGG